rnacentral:rRNA from 1 species
GUGGGGAAUCUUCCGCAAUGGACGAGAGUCUGACGGAGCGACGCCGCGUGAGUGAUGAAGGCCUUCGGGUCGUAAAGCUCUGUCAUCGGGGACGAACGGCCUCAGCAGGUAAUGGCUGGGGAUUGACGGUACCCGAGAAGGAAGCCACGGCUAACUACGUGCCAGCAGCCGCGGUAAUACGUAGGUGGCAAGCGUUGUCCGGAAUUAUUGGGCGUAAAGCGCGCGCAGGUGGGAUCUUAAGUCCAUUUUGAAAGUUCGGAGCUCAACUCCGUGAUGGGAUGGAAACUGGGAUUCUUGAGUACCGGAGAGGAAAGCGGAAUUCCCCGUGUAGCGGUGAAAUGCGUAGAUAUGGGGAGGAACACCAGUGGCGAAGGCGGCUUUCUGGACGGUGUCUGACACUGAGGCGCGAAAGCCAGGGGAGCGAACGGGAUUAGAAACCCUGGUAGUCC